AGUGAACGCUGGCGGUAGGCCUAACACAUGCAAGUCGAACGGCAGCACAGUAAGAGCUUGCUCUUACGGGUGGCGAGUGGCGGACGGGUGAGGAAUACAUCGGAAUCUACUUUUUCGUGGGGGAUAACGUAGGGAAACUUACGCUAAUACCGCAUACGACCUACGGGUGAAAGCAGGGGAUCUUCGGACCUUGCGCGAUUGAAUGAGCCGAUGUCGGAUUAGCUAGUUGGCGGGGUAAAGGCCCACCAAGGCGACGAUCCGUAGCUGGUCUGAGAGGAUGAUCACCCACACUGGAACUGAGACACGGUCCAGACUCCUACGGGAGGCAGCAGUGGGGAAUAUUGGACAAUGGGCGCAAGCCUGAUCCAGCCCUACCGCGUGGGUGAAGAAGGCCUUCGGGUUGUAAAGCCCUUUUGUUGAGAAAGAAAAGCAGCAGGUUAAUACCCCGCUGUUCUGACGGUACCCAAAGAAUAAGCACCGGCUAACUUCGUG
rnacentral:rRNA from 1 species